UACGGAGGGUGCGAGCGUUAUCCGGAUUUAUUGGGUUUAAAGGGUCCGUAGGCGGACCUGUAAGUCAGUGGUGAAAUCUCAUAGCUUAACUAUGAAACUGCCAUUGAUACUGCGGGUCUUGAGUGAAUUUGAGGUAGCUGGAAUAAGUAGUGUAGCGGUGAAAUGCAUAGAUAUUGCUUAGAACACCAAUGGCGAAGGCAGGUUACCGGGAUUCAACUGACGCUGAGGGACGAAAGCGUGGGGAGCGAACAGG
rnacentral:rRNA from 1 species